UCAUAUGCUUGUCUCAAAGAUUAAGCCAUGCAUGUCUAAGUAUAAGCAAUUAUACAGCGAAACUGCGAAUGGCUCAUUAUAUAAGUUAUCGUUUAUUUGAUAGUACCUUACUACUUGGAUAACCGUGGUAAUUCUAGAGCUAAUACAUGCUUCAAAUCCCGACUUCGGAAGGGAUGUAUUUAUUAGAUUAAAAACCAAUGCCCUCUGGGCUCCUUGGUGAUUCAUAAUAACUUUUCGAAUCGCAUGGCCUUGCGCCGGCGAUGGUUCAUUCAAAUUUCUUCCCUAUCAACUUUCGAUGUUUGGGUAUUGGCCAAACAUGGUUACAACGGGUAACGGAGGGUUAGGGCUCGACCCCGGAGAAGGAGCCUGAGAAACGGCUACUACAUCCAAGGAAGGCAGCAGGCGCGCAAAUUACCCAAUCCCGAUUCGGGGAGGUAGUGACAAUAAAUACUGAUACAGGGCUCUUUUGGGUCUUGUAAUUGGAAUGAGUACAAUUUAAAUCCCUUAACGAGGAACAAUUGGAGGGCAAGUCUGGUGCCAGCAGCCGCGGUAAUC
rnacentral:rRNA from 1 species